rnacentral:rRNA from 1 species
AAAUUGAAGAGUUUGAUCAUGGCUCAGAUUGAACGCUGGCGGCAGGCCUAACACAUGCAAGUCGAACGGUAACAGGAAGCAGCUUGCUGCUUUGCUGACGAGUGGCGGACGGGUGAGUAAUGUCUGGGAAACUGCCUGAUGGAGGGGGAUAACUACUGGAAACGGUGGCUAAUACCGCAUAACGUCGCAAGACCAAAGAGGGGGACCUUCGGGCCUCUUGCCAUCAGAUGUGCCCAGAUGGGAUUAGCUAGUUGGUGAGGUAACGGCUCACCAAGGCGACGAUCCCUAGCUGGUCUGAGAGGAUGACCAGCCACACUGGAACUGAGACACGGUCCAGACUCCUACGGGAGGCAGCAGUGGGGAAUAUUGCACAAUGGGCGCAAGCCUGAUGCAGCCAUGCCGCGUGUAUGAAGAAGGCCUUCGGGUUGUAAAGUACUUUCAGCGGGGAGGAAGGUGUUGUGGUUAAUAACCGCAGCAAUUGACGUUACCCGCAGAAGAAGCACCGGCUAACUCCGUGCCAGCAGCCGCGGUAAUACGGAGGGUGCAAGCGUUAAUCGGAAUUACUGGGCGUAAAGCGCACGCAGGCGGUCUGUCAAGUCGGAUGUGAAAUCCCCGGGCUCAACCUGGGAACUGCAUUCGAAACUGGCAGGCUUGAGUCUUGUAGAGGGGGGUAGAAUUCCAGGUGUAGCGGUGAAAUGCGUAGAGAUCUGGAGGAAUACCGGUGGCGAAGGCGGCCCCCUGGACAAAGACUGACGCUCAGGUGCGAAAGCGUGGGGAGCAAACAGGAUUAGAUACCCUGGUAGUCCACGCCGUAAACGAUGUCUACUUGGAGGUUGUGCCCUUGAGGCGUGGCUUCCGGAGCUAACGCGUUAAGUAGACCGCCUGGGGAGUACGGCCGCAAGGUUAAAACUCAAAUGAAUUGACGGGGGCCCGCACAAGCGGUGGAGCAUGUGGUUUAAUUCGAUGCAACGCGAAGAACCUUACCUGGUCUUGACAUCCACGGAAGUUUUCAGAGAUGAGAAUGUGCCUUCGGGAACCGUGAGACAGGUGCUGCAUGGCUGUCGUCAGCUCGUGUUGUGAAAUGUUGGGUUAAGUCCCGCAACGAGCGCAACCCUUAUCCUUUGUUGCCAGCGAUUAGG